rnacentral:rRNA from 1 species
AUUGAACGCUGGCGGCAUGCCUUACACAUGCAAGUCGAACGGCAGCACGGGAGCAAUCCUGGUGGCGAGUGGCGAACGGGUGAGUAAUAUAUCGGAACGUGCCCAGUCGUGGGGGAUAACGUAGCGAAAGCUACGCUAAUACCGCAUACGAUCUAUGGAUGAAAGCGGGGGAUCGCAAGACCUCGCGCGAUUGGAGCGGCCGAUAUCAGAUUAGGUAGUUGGUGAGGUAAAGGCUCGCCAAGCCGACGAUCUGUAGCUGGUCUGAGAGGACGACCAGCCACACUGGGACUGAGACACGGCCCAGACUCCUACGGGAGGCAGCAGUGGGGGAAUUUUUGGGACAAUGGGCGCAAGCCUGAUCCAGCAAUGCGCGUGCAGGAUGAAGGCCU